GACGAACGCUGGCGGCGUGCUUAACACAUGCAAGUCGAACGGAAAGGCCCUGCUUUUGUGGGGUGCUCGAGUGGCGAACGGGUGAGUAACACGUGAGUAACCUGCCCUUGACUUUGGGAUAACUUCAGGCAACUGGGGCUAAUACCGGAUAGGAGCUCCUGCUGCAUGGUGGGGGUUGGAAAGUUUCGGCGGUUGGGGAUGGACUCGCGGCUUAUCAGCUUGUUGGGGGGGUAGUGGCUUACCAAGGCUUUGACGGGUAGCCGGCCUGGGAGGGUGACCGGCCACAUUGGGACUGAGAGACGGCCCAGACUCCUACGGGAGGCAGCAGUGGGGAAUAUUGCACAAUGGGCGGAAGCCUGAUGCAGCAACGCCGCGUGCGGGAUGACGGCCUUCGGGUUGUAAACCGCUUUCGCCUGUGACGAAGCGUGAGUGACGGUAAUGGGUAAAGAAGCACCGGCUAACUACGUG
rnacentral:rRNA from 1 species